CAUGUCCUUUUGAUUAUAAUUUAAGGUCUAAUCUGCCCACUGAAGAUUUAAAUGGCCGCAGUAUUUUGACUGUGCUAAGGUAGCAUAAUCAAUAGUUUUUUAAUUGAAAGCUGGAAUGAAUGAUUGGAUGAAAUAAAAACUGUCUUACUAAUAAAAAGUAAAACUUUAUCUUUAAGUUAAAAAGCUUAAAUAAUUUUAAAAGACGAGAAGACCCUAUAGAGUUUAAUAAUUAAAAGUAGUUAGUAAAAUUUGUUUUAAAAAUUAAUUAUUUAUAAUUAUUUUAUUGGGGUGAUAGAAAAAUUAAAAUAACUUUUUUUUUAUAAUUACAUAAAUUAAUGAAUAUUUGAUCCAUAAAUUAAUGAUUAAAAGAAUAAAUUACCUUAGGGAUAACAGCGUAAUUUUUUUUGAGAGUUCUAAUCAAAAAAAGAGAUUGCGACCUCGAUGUUGGAUUAAAGUUUAAUUUUGGUGUAGAAGCUAAAAAUUUAAGUCUGUUCGACUUUUGAAACUUUACAUGAUCUGAGU
rnacentral:rRNA from 1 species